AUUGAACGCUGGCGGCAGGCCUAACACAUGCAAGUCGAACGGUAGCACAGAGAGCUUGCUCUCGGGUGACGAGUGGAGGACGGGUGAGUAAUGUCUGGGAAACUGCCUGAUGGAGGGGGAUAACUACUGGAAACGGUAGCUAAUACCGCAUAACGUCGCAAGACCAAAGAGGGGGACCUUAGGGCCUCUUGCCAUCAGAUGUGCCCAGAUGGGAUUAGCUAGUAGGUGGGGUAAUGGCUCACCUAAGCGACGAUCCCUAGCUGGUCUGAGAGGAUGACCAGCCACACUGGAACUGAGACACGGUCCAGACUCCUACGGGAGGCAGCAGUGGGGAAUAUUGCACAAUGGGCGCAAGCCUGAUGCAGCCAUGCCGCGUGUAUGAAGAAGGCCUUCGGGUUGUAAAGUACUUUCAGCGGGGAGGAAGGUGUUGUGGUUAAUAACCGCAGCAAUUGACGUUACCCGCAGAAGAAGCACCGGCUAACUCCGUGCCAGCCGCCGCCGUAA
rnacentral:rRNA from 1 species